GCUGGGCCCCGGGUCUCUCACUGGCAGAAUGGAGUUCUCGGAGCUGAUCCAUACGGGCUGAGCCCAAGCAGAGUUUCUACGGGGCCCGGAGGCGCCCCCGCUUCGCGGCACGGUGUGAGUCACCGUCCACCACCUGCUCCUGUCGCCAGGGCCCGCGUCCUCUCCGGACCUGUGGCUGCUGCUGUUGCGUAGCGUCGACUCCUUCGAGAAGCAGUGAGACGUGGCGGGGUGGGGGAGGGUCCCCGGGGUUGGGGAGCGCGCGGCUUGGCGGAGUAGGGGGCACGGCCAGCGCAGUCAGAGCUGGCGCCCUCCUGCGUAAGCCCAAUCCGGGAAACUCGUUGCCCCUCUCCUGGGAAAGGAACGUCCCUCCCCAGGGUUGCGAGUGACUCGGGCACCAUCACCCUGUGCUGUAAAGACCUGCGAGUGCUGCAGCUGGAAAUAGAGGGCGCGGAAGCGACGCUGGGCAUCGCCCGCUCCAUCGAGGGCCUGAGAUUGGGCGACUCCUGGCACUUCCUCCCGCCCGAACUCUACUGCAAGAGAGUAGCUCGCGAAGUGGGCGCGGUCGUAGGGGCCCGGGAAGGUGGAAGCGCCGGGCCUGGAAGAGGCGCGGGGACAGGGCACUCCCUGGGUGCCCUAGACCUGGCCUCUCUCCUCCCUGCGCUGCAGACCAACGCGUGGCGGCUGAGCGAGGUUCUGCUACGCUCCAGCCAGCCCCUAACUGGUCCCCAGAAGCGGCGCUGCUACAGGGACCAGGAGCUGCUGCGAACUGCGCUGGCGGGGGCUCGUCCUUGGGCGCGGGGCUUCAUCAUGGACACGCUCUCGGCCCAGGCCGCGAAACAAGCCCGCGUGACUGGCGGAGGCACAGAGACCAAGGCCGCUUAACCUGGCUGGUUGCACUGGUCCCUGGAGAGAGGGCGUCCCCUGCAGGAGAGCUUCAUGCGCCUGGUGGAGGCCUGUGGGGACUCGGAGCAAAGCAUGGACAACUGGCUGAGUCGGCUGGACGGCUGCCGCUGACUGUAACAUGUAAAGCAGGCACUGAGCACCACCUGCCUGGCAGUCCAGGGCAUGGAGAGGCACAGACAGCACCCUGCUUGUGACUUCACUGGCCCAACUCAUCCUGGACCCCUUGAGCAAGACCAUGGCUGGAUUCCAGGAACUGGUGGAGUGGAAGUGGAUCCAGGAAAAUGCCGUGUGAAGGGAGGACUCAGAUGCACUCCCUGUGGUCUGGGCUCAACCAGCCAAAAGAGCAACAAAGACUCCAGAACCCACUCUACCUCCUCAAUCCCUUGGCCAUCUGUGGAGCCCCAGAGCCUGCGGCUGUGGCAAGGCCUGUUUCUGCGCUGGACCUGCUCACCUGAGCCUGCAGAAGCUGCAUGGGGGAAGAGUGUGGCAAAUAGUGACAGGAAGGGAGAAGACAGAAGCCUCUCAGCCAACUGCUUCAGCCGAGCCCCUAUUCUAAGCACUGGCUCCUUGGAUAGCAGCUGAGAUGUUCCUGAAACCUCUGCAGGCCCCUUAGGACCUUUACACCUUGGAUGAGGGUGCCUGCAACCCAGGUUAGCCAAAAGUACUGAGGGUCUUAAGUUUGAAGUGUCCAAAGUAUAGGGAGGUCUCAAUAAUAAAAGUCUCCAUGAUCAGCA
ensembl:lncRNA novel transcript